rnacentral:rRNA from 1 species
UACGUAGGGUGCGAGCGUUAAUCGGAAUUACUGGGCGUAAAGCGUGCGCAGGCGGUUUUGUAAGCCAGAUGUGAAAUCCCCGAGCUUAACUUGGGAACUGCAUUUGGGACUGCAAGGCUAGCGUACGGCAGAGGGGGGUAGAAUUCCUGGUGUAGCAGUGAAAUGCGUAGAUAUCAGGAGGAAUACCGAUGGCGAAGGCAGCCCCCUGGGUCGAUACUGACGCUCAUGCACGAAAGCGUGGGGAGCAAACAGG